UACGGAGGGGGCUAGCGUUAUUCGGAAUUACUGGGCGUAAAGCGCACGUAGGCGGAUCAGAAAGUCAGAGGUGAAAUCCCAGGGCUCAACCUUGGAACUGCCUUUGAAACUCCUGGUCUUGAGGUCGAGAGAGGUAGAUGGAAUUCCUAGUGGAGAGGUGAAAUUCGUAGAUAUUAGGAGGAACACCAGAGGCGAAGGCGAUCUACUAGAACGUUUCUGACGCUGAGGCGCGAAAGCGUGGGGAUCAAAUAGG
rnacentral:rRNA from 1 species